GUGGGGGAUAUUGCACAAUGGGGGAAACCCUGAUGCAGCGACGCCGCGUGAAGGAAGACGUACUUCGGUAUGUAAACUUCUAUCAGCAGGGAAGAAGAUGACGGUACCUGACUAAGAAGCCCCGGCUAACUACGUGCCAGCAGCCGCGGUAAUACGUAGGGGGCAAGCGUUAUCCGGAUUUACUGGGUGUAAAGGGAGCGUAGACGGUGAAGCAAGUCUGAUGUGAAAACCCGGGGCUCAACUCCGGGAUUGCAUUGGAAACUGUUUUACUUGAGUGCUGGAGGGGCAAGCGGAAUUCCUGGUGUAGCGGUGAAAUGCGUAGAUAUCAGGAAGAACACCGGUGGCGAAGGCGGCUUGCUGGACAGUAACUGACGUUGAGGCUCGAAAGCGUGGGGAGCAAACAGGAUUAGAUACCCUAGUAGUCC
rnacentral:rRNA from 1 species